rnacentral:rRNA from 1 species
AUGGCCCAAGCUUGGGCCUUCCUCCUCCCGGUCCUCGUCCUCGGCUCCUACGUAACCAGCCUCUUCCUCCCCACCUAUAUAACCGGCCCCCUCUGCGGCGGCGAUGGAGGAGGCAGAUCCUUGUUCCUCUGCGCGCAGGCUCCCAAGGACCAGGACCCGUCUCCUGCCAGCACCAUGUACAAGACCGCCUUCCACUUCCAGCCCGCCAAGAACUGGAUGAACGAUCCAUCUGGUAUGAAUAUCUCAGGACCAAUGUACUUCAAUGGCAUCUACCAUGAAUUCUACCAGUAUAACCUCAACGGCCCCAUUUUUGGUGACAUAGUUUGGGGCCAUUCGGUUUCAACAGACCUUGUCAACUGGAUCGGGCUUGAACCCGCGUUAGUGCGGGACACCCCUAGUGACAUAGACGGCUGCUGGACCGGCUCAGUCACCAUUCUGCCUGGUGGUAAACCGAUCAUCAUAUACACUGGUGGUGACAUAGAUCAAAAUCAGGCACAAAACAUCGCGUUUCCGAAAAACCGGUCUGACCCAUACCUGAGGGAAUGGAUCAAAGCAGACAAUAACCCGGUGCUCCGACCGGACGAACCAGGGAUGAACUCGAUCGAGUUCAGGGAUCCGACAACCGGUUGGAUCGGACCGGAUGGACUGUGGAGGAUGGCAGUUGGUGGUGAGCUGAACGGCUACAGUGCUGCGCUUUUGUACAAGAGUGAAGACUUUCUGAAUUGGACAAAAGUUGAUCACCCACUGUAUUCACAUAAUGGAUCCAAUAUGUGGGAGUGUCCGGAUUUCUUUGCGGUAUUGCCGGGCAAUAACGCUGGACUGGACCUGUCCGCAGCGAUCCCACAAGGCGCCAAGCAUGCCCUCAAAAUGAGCGUGGAUUCAGUUGACAAGUACAUGAUCGGGGUGUAUGAUCUCCAUCGUGAUGCCUUUGUGCCAGAUAAUGUCGUAGAUGACCGUCGGCUGUGGCUGAGAAUAGAUUACGGCACUUUCUAUGCUUCAAAAUCAUUCUUUGACUCGAACAAGAACAGGAGGAUCAUAUGGGGUUGGUCUAGGGAGACAGAUAGUCCUUCAGAUGAUCUUGCAAAAGGUUGGGCAGGACUCCAUACAAUCCCCAGGACAAUUUGGUUAGCCGGCGAUGGCAAGCAGUUGUUACAAUGGCCAGUUGAGGAGAUUGAGUCCCUUCGAACAAAUGAAAUCAACCAUCAAGGACUAGAGCUCAACAAGGGAGAUCUAUUUGAGAUCAAGGAAGUUGACGCUUUUCAGGCUGAUGUAGAGAUAGGUUUUGAGCUGGCGUCCAUCGAUGACGCCGAUCCUUUUGAUCCUUCCUGGCUUUUGGACCCUGAGAAGCAUUGUGGGGAAGCGGGUGCAUCAGUUCCUGGUGGUAUAGGUCCAUUUGGACUUGUCAUUCUGGCCUCCGACAACAUGGACGAGCACACUGAGGUGUAUUUCAGAGUCUACAAGUCACAGGAAAAGUACAUGGUACUCAUGUGCUCUGAUCUAAGAAGGUCUUCCCUGAGACCAGAUCUGGAGAAACCAGCCUAUGGAGGCUUCUUUGAAUUUGAUCUUGAAAAGGAAAGGAAGAUAUCACUCAGAACUCUGAUUGACCGGUCGGCGGUGGAGAGCUUCGGUGGCGGUGGCAGGGUUUGCAUCACAUCCAGAGUUUAUCCGGCGGUGCUGGCCGACGUCGGCAGUGCCCACAUUUACGCUUUCAACAAUGGAAGUGCCACGGUCAGGGUGCCACAGCUCAGCGCAUGGACCAUGAGGAAGGCACAAGUGAAUGUGGAGAAGGGUUGGAGUGCUAUUUAA